rnacentral:rRNA from 1 species
GUGGGGAAUAUUGCACAAUGGGCGCAAGCCUGAUGCAGCAACGCCGCGUGAGGGACGACGGCCUUCGGGUUGUAAACCUCUUUUAGCAGGGAAGAAGCGAAAGUGACGGUACCUGCAGAAAAAGCACCGGCUAACUACGUGCCAGCAGCCGCGGUAAUACGUAGGGUGCAAGCGUUGUCCGGAAUUAUUGGGCGUAAAGAGCUCGUAGGCGGUUUGUCGCGUCUGCUGUGAAAACCCGAGGCUCAACCUCGGGCCUGCAGUGGGUACGGGCAGACUAGAGUGCGGUAGGGGAGAUUGGAAUUCCUGGUGUAGCGGUGGAAUGCGCAGAUAUCAGGAGGAACACCGAUGGCGAAGGCAGAUCUCUGGGCCGUAACUGACGCUGAGGAGCGAAAGCGUGGGGAGCGAACAGGAUUAGAUACCCUGGUAGUCC